rnacentral:misc_RNA from 1 species
GAUGAAGAACGCAGUGAAAUGCGAUAACUAAUGUGAAUUGCAGAAUUCAGUGAAUCAUCGAGUCUUUGAACGCACAUUGCGCCCCCUGGUAUUCCGGGGGGCAUGCCUGUCCGAGCGUCAUUGCUGCCCUCAAGCACGGCUUGUGUGUUGGGCUCCGUCCCCCCGGGGACGGGCCCGAAAGGCAGCGGCGGCACCGAGUCCGGUCCUCGAGCGUAUGGGGCUUUGUCACCCGCUCUGUAGGCCCGGCCGGCGCCAGCCGACAACCCAUCAUCCUUUUCAGGUUGACCUCGGAUCAGGUAGGGAUACCCGCUGAACUUAAGCAUAUCAAAAGCGGAGGA